rnacentral:rRNA from 1 species
UUGAACGCUGGCGGCAGGCCUAACACAUGCCAGUCGAGCGGAUGAAGGGAGCUUGCUCCUGGAUUCAGCGGCGGACGGGUGAGUAAUGCCUAGGAAUCUGCCUGGUCGUGGGGGAUAACGUCCGGAAACGGGCGCUAAUACCGCAUACGUCCUGAGGGAGAAAGUGGGGGAUCUUCGGACCUCACGCUAUCAGAUGAGCCUAGGUCGGAUUAGCUAGUUGGUGGGGUAAAGGCCUACCAAGGCGACGAUCCGUAACUGGUCUGAGAGGAGGAUCAGUCACACUGGAACUGAGACACGGUCCAGACUCCUACGGGAGGCAGCAGUGGGGAAUAUUGGACAAUGGGCGAAAGCCUGAUCCAGCCAUGCCGCGUGUGUGAAGAAGGUCUUCGGAUUGUAAAGCACUUUAAGUUGGGAGGAAGGGCAGUAAGUUAAUACCUUGCUGGUUUGACGUUACCAACAGAAGAAGCACCGGCUAACUUCGUG